AUCCAGCUGACGAGUACAAGAAAGGACGAAACGCGCGUCCUGGAU
rnacentral:hammerhead_ribozyme from 1 species